rnacentral:rRNA from 1 species
GGCCUUCGGACUGGCCCAGGGAGGUCGGCAACGACCACCCAGGGCCGGAAAGUUGGUCAAACCCGGUCAUUUAGAGGAAGUAAAAGUCGUAACAAGGUCUCCGUAGGUGAACCUGCGGAGGGAUCAUU